AGAAGAUCUGUAACAAAUUGGUUGCUGUAAUGCAGGUGAAUAUACUGUGUUUAGACUGAAGUCAGAACACAAGUUGGAAAAUAUAACCUUAUGAAGUUGGAGCAGCGUUUCUGGGGCAAAAAGAGCCCUGUGAG
rnacentral:lncRNA from 12 species